GUUUUUAUAGUUGAUGACAACGUCGGUUUUUCAGACCGGAGGUCUUGGUUAGUGUCCGAGUAAGAAUU
rnacentral:tRNA from 1 species